rnacentral:tRNA from 2 species
CGGGCAGUAGCGCAGGGGCUAGCGCGUCUGGUUCGGGACCAGAAGGUCGCGGGUUCAAUUCCCGCUUGCCCGA